rnacentral:rRNA from 1 species
UGUGUGUUAGUGGAAGCGUCUGGAAAGGCGCGCGAUACAGGGUGACAGCCCCGUACACAAAAAUGCACAUGCUGUGAGCUCGAUGAGUAGGGCGGGACACGUGGUAUCCUGUCUGAAUAUGGGGGGACCAUCCUCCAAGGCUAAAUACUCCUGACUGACCGAUAGUGAACCAGUACCGUGAGGGAAAGGCGAAAAGAACCCCGGCGAGGGGAGUGAAAAAGAACCUGAAACCGUGUACGUACAAGCAGUGGGAGCACGCUUAGGCGUGUGACUGCGUACCUUUUGUAUAAUGGGUCAGCGACUUAUAUUCUGUAGCAAGGUUAACCGAAUAGGGGAGCCGAAGGGAAACCGAGUCUUAACUGGGCGUUAAGUUGCAGGGUAUAGACCCGAAACCCGGUGAUCUAGCCAUGGGCAGGUUGAAGGUUGGGUAACACUAACUGGAGGACCGAACCGACUAAUGUUGAAAAAUUAGCGGAUGACUUGUGGCUGGGGGUGAAAGGCCAAUCAAACCGGGAGAUAGCUGGUUCUCCCCGAAAGCUAUUUAGGUAGCGCCUCGUGAAUUCAUCUCCGGGGGUAGAGCACUGUUUCGGCAAGGGGGUCAUCCCGACUUACCAACCCGAUGCAAACUGCGAAUACCGGAGAAUGUUAUCACGGGAGACACACGGCGGGUGCUAACGUCCGUCGUGAAGAGGGAAACAACCCAGACCGCCAGCUAAGGUCCCAAAGUCAUGGUUAAGUGGGAAACGAUGUGGGAAGGCCCAGACAGCCAGGAUGUUGGCUUAGAAGCAGCCAUCAUUUAAAGAAAGCGUAAUAGCUCACUGGUCGAGUCGGCCUGCGCGGAAGAUGUAACGGGGCUAAACCAUGCACCGAAGCUGCGGCAGCGACGCUUAUGCGUUGUUGGGUAGGGGAGCGUUCUGUAAGCCUGUGAAGGUGUGCUGUGAGGCAUGCUGGAGGUAUCAGAAGUGCGAAUGCUGACAUAAGUAACGAUAAAGCGGGUGAAAAGCCCGCUCGCCGGAAGACC